GUCCACGCCCUAAACGAUGGAUACUAAGUAGGGGACCCUGCAAGGGGUUCCUUGCCGGAGCAAAAGCGUUAAGUAUCCCGCCUGGGGAGUAUGGUCGCAAGGCUGAAACUCAAAGGAAUUGACGGGGGCUCACACAAGCGGUGGAGCAUGUUGCUUAAUUCGAUGCAACGCGAAGAACCUUACCCGGGCUCGAAGUGUACGGAUUAGCUCUAUGAAAGUAGAGUGACACCUUAACCGGUGGAACGUAUAAAGGUGUUGCAUGGCUGUCGU
rnacentral:rRNA from 1 species